AUGCACGAAUCGAUGCUUUAUUCCACUUUAUAUUUUUAACUAACGUUGUCUGUUUUAUGCCAAUUAAUUCGAGUGUUGCAAAAGGGCGGGAUCUAUUAAACGAGGAAGUUGUUUGUCCAGUGAACUUUCUGCAUCCAGGUCGCGUAGACGAUUUAAAUCUGCAGCGUUUUUAUAUAUUAUAUUGAACAAUAGCACUUGUUGACCUUGCGUUUCGCAGGAAUAGUAAUAUUGAAACAAAGAAAGGAUCUGUAAUGGUAGAUAAACAGAGGGAUGCGAGGCAGAUGUGUCCUUGCUGUGGUUUAAGAAAUCACAUGGAAGGCGUCAAAUUGCAAUCUACAGAACAAACUGAAAGUCGGUUAUUAGUGGUUUACUGGAUAUUAUAAAAUAAUGAGCUCCAAAGGCUUAUUAAAAUUACUGUGCUUUACAUAGAUUACAGCCACACAAUGUCUGUGAUUGGUCCGUCCGUAAAAUCAUUAGUGAAACCUCUGACUGAGUUGUGUCCCCACAUCAUGGGAGAGGAAGACUGUCAUGAGCACUUCAUCACUCAGACUGAAAGUUUAUGAAUGCACAGAAAUCAAAUGGCACCGCUGGUGUGCAGAAACUCAUAGAAACGAUUUGCCAUGAUAAGUGCUUCUCAUCCAGUGUAUGAACCCAUCGGAAUCUUUAAAAUCUCUGCAAGUGAUCGUACAUGUGUGGAUACAUCUGUACAGCUCUUCUUCUCCACCACCCAGUGUGGGUAGUGGUGUUGUUUUGGAUGUUGUUCUCCUGUUUGACCACAUGGAAUAAGAACAUAAUCAGGUGGAAGAAAUCGCAUAUUGAAGAAGGCUGAUGUCCAGAACACACACAUCCAUUAUGAUUAUAAUUGCCAUGGACCGAAGGUAGCUCAUAAGUGUUUAGGAGGCAAAACAAACUCCCCCAGAAAGUUUAUUUUGAUGAGCUGUUUCAAACUACCAAAACGGACUGAAAAUGAACUUUGCUAUGGAUGAUUUUAGUUAAAAAUUACAUCAGUUUAGUUCAUGCUUCAAUUUCAUUUGAAGUACUUAAUAGGCUUGAAUAGACCAAACACUGCCAUUUUUCACAUGCUAAUCAGGCCUAUUACAUGCUAAGGUAUUGAUAGAAUAUUCUGUGAUUCUUUAUAGAGUUACUGUACAUUUAAGCUUGUGCUGGAUCAUUUAAUAAUGAACGAAACCAGGAUCCUCUCUUCACUAUAUUUCUUAGCUAGAGUUUGGUUUAGGACCAUAUUUUGCAUGAUCUUUCAAGGAAUAAUUAGAUUCUUACCUUACCACAAGGUUUCUUGAUGGGUUCUGCACAUGAAGUCAAUGUCUGCUUCAGGAAGAAUAUUAAUAAAAAUACAUUUUUAUUAAUAAAAUAAAUCCAGUGAAAAGGAUGAAUAAAAACAAAUACAAGAACAAAACAAAGAUCCUUUACUUUAUUCUCUGUUGAAAAUAAAGGACUUAAGACUUAGAAAGAAUGUACAGAAGUCUUGAUUUAAUAAAACUAAGGAGAUGAUAAUUAGCAGAAAUAAACUAGUCCUUAGUCAAGGGUUGAAACCUCUGGUCUAUGAAGGACAUGAAAUAGAGACAGUUGGCUGUUUUAAAUAUUUAGGGACAUUUAUUAAUAGUGGAUUAACAUUUGCUGCAAAUGCAGAGUGCAUUUUUAAAAAAGCAAUGCAGAGAUUAUAUCUCAUCAGGAGGUUUCAACAAUUUGGUGUAAGUCAAGAUGUUCUGGAGAUGGUAUACAAGAACUAGGUUGAAAGUGAUGUGAGUUUUAACAUGACAGCAUGGUAUGGACUGUUGCCAAUUAAGGAAAAGCAAAAACUGUGUCGAGUAGUAAAAAUUGCCAGUGAAAUUGUAGAUAAAGCACAAAGACAACUAAAUGAAAUGCAUUCAAUGAGAAUUAAACAGAAAGUACAUGUCAUAAUUAAAGGUUGUUCCCAUCCCUUAAAUUGAAAAUUUCAGCUCUUGUCAUCUAAAUGACAUUUUCGGUAACCUCAAGUAAAAGAAAAAUGUGUCUUUUCUGUUGAGUGCCAUUAGAGUUUUAAAUACUGGAUUCCUAGUAUGUAUAGGGUUUUAAAAUGAGUUUUUAAAUGUGAUAUAUGUGAUGACAUUGAACGUAUUUGUGUUGCCUGUUUUUUUUCUGUGAUGUGUGUAAUGUGAACGCGGAUGUGGUUGUGUGGUAAAGCCAAAGAUAAAUUUCCACUUGUGGACAAUAAAAGUAAAA